AGCAGCAUGGCGCAGAUGGAAGCGCGCGGGGCCCAUAUUCCGGAUUGAAAAUGUCACCCCGAGGUCACUCGAUCGAAACGAGUUGCUGCUA